rnacentral:rRNA from 1 species
UACGGAGGGAGCUAGCGUUGUUCGGAAUUACUGGGCGUAAAGCGCGCGUAGGCGGUUACUCAAGUCAGAGGUGAAAGCCCGGAGCUCAACUCCGGAACUGCCUUUGAAACUAGGUGACUAGAAUCUUGGAGAGGCGAGUGGAAUUCCGAGUGUAGAGGUGAAAUUCGUAGAUAUUCGGAGGAACACCAGUGGCGAAGGCGGCUCACUGGCUCGAUACUGACGCUGAGGUGCGAAAGCGUGGGGAGCAAACAGG